rnacentral:rRNA from 1 species
GAUGGACGCUGGCGGUGUGCCUAAUACAUGCAAGUCGAGCGAACAGACGAGGAGCUUACUCCUCUGACGUUAGCGGCGGACGGGUGAGUAACACGUGGAUAACCUACCUAUAAGACUGGGAUAACUUCGGGAAACCGGAGCUAAUACCGGAUAACAUGUUGAACCGCAUGGUUCAACAGUGAAAGACGGUCUUGCUGUCACUUAUAGAUGGAUCCGCGUCGCAUUAGCUAGUUGGUAAGGUAACGGCUUACCAAGGCAACGAUGCGUAGCCGACCUGAGAGGGUGAUCGGCCACACUGGAACUGAGACACGGUCCAGACUCCUACGGGAGGCAGCAGUAGGGAAUCUUCCGCAAUGGGCGAAAGCCUGACGGAGCAACGCCGCGGGAGUGAAGAAGGUCUUCGGAUCGUAAAACUCUGUUAUUAGGGAAGAACAAAUGUGUAAGUAACUAUGCACGUCUUGACGGUACCUAAUCAGAAAGCCACGGCUAACUACGU